UUGGAGGGCAAGUCUGGUGCCAGCAGCCGCGGUAAUUCCAGCUCCAAUAGCGUAUAUUAAAGUUGUUGCAGUUAAAAAGCUCGUAGUUGAAUUUCGGGGUUAGUAGGUUGGUCAUGCCUCCGGUAUGUACUGAUCUCACUGAUUCCUCCUUCCUUAUGAACCGUAAUGCCAUUAAUUUGGUGUUGCGGGGAAUUUGGACUGUUACUUUGAAAAAAUUAGAGUGUUUAAAGCAAGCUAACGCUUGAAUACAUUAGCAUGGAAUAAUGAAAUAGGACGUUCGAUCUUAUUUUGUUGGUUUCUAGGAUUGACGUAAUGAUUAAUAGGGAUAGUUGGGGGCAUUAGUAUUCAAUUGUCAGAGGUGAAAUUCUUGGAUUUAUUGAAGACUAACUACUGCGAAAGCAUUUGCCAAGGAUGUUUUCAUUAAUCAAGAACGAAAGUUAGGGGAUCGAAGACGAUCAGAUACCGUCGUAGUCUUAACCAUAAACUAUGCCGACUAGGGAUCGGAUGAUGUUAAUUUUUUAAUGACUCAUUCGGCGCCUUACGGGAAAC
rnacentral:rRNA from 2 species